GGGGGGGGGGAGGUUUGGACUCACAAACUCGACUUUAACAGUCAAAUUUCGAACAAAACGUUAACUUGAACAGUGCUUAUUUGUUUUCAAGGGAGGGAGGGGGUCGUCCGAACCCCCUAUGGCUAUGGGUAUACUAUAAGAGCUAUAUUGCACGUAAAACCCCCAUGGGCAUUUUCAAACCUUGGCAGGUAUGUUUAUAAUGUUUUAAAGAUAUUUAGUAUGCAGUUAUGUGUCCUCAUGUAUCUCAUUUACAAUUGUAUCAACUUUGGCCCUUAGGCACAUAUGGGUAUAUGAUACAGAUAUUUUUUUUUAUUUUUUUUUGUUGUGGAAUAAG
rnacentral:lncRNA from 1 species